rnacentral:lncRNA from 1 species
UUUCGUCUCUGUCUGGGAGUUUCGGCCGCCGAAGGUGCCGCCGAACCUGCCUGACUUUCGGCUCUGGAGGGACUUUCGGCCGCCGAACCUGCCGCCGAAAGUGCCCUGUCCAGGCCUCCUUUGCAUGUUUUUCUAUGGUUGUUUCAUGAUGUUUUAGGGGGUUUUUGGGGAGUAGUUUAGAGAUAUGUUCCAGUAUGUUUGGUCCCUCAUUUGAGUCCACCUGUGUAGGUUCGGACCCGAGGAACCGAGGACCCCAGCAGUGAGUUCAGCUGCUUCGGUGUCGUCAGAGUCAGCCAGAGGUGAGUG